rnacentral:rRNA from 1 species
GUGUGACUGCGUACCUUUUGUAUAAUGGGUCAGCGACUUAUAUUCUGUAGCAAGGUUAACCGAAUAGGGGAGCCGAAGGGAAACCGAGUCUUAACUGGGCGUUAAGUUGCAGGGUAUAGACCCGAAACCCGGUGAUCUAGCCAUGGGCAGGUUGAAGGUUGGGUAACACUAACUGGAGGACCGAACCGACUAAUGUUGAAAAAUUAGCGGAUGACUUGUGGCUGGGGGUGAAAGGCCAAUCAAACCGGGAGAUAGCUGGUUCUCCCCGAAAGCUAUUUAGGUAGCGCCUCGUGAAUUCAUCUCCGGGGGUAGAGCACUGUUUCGGCAAGGGGGUCAUCCCGACUUACCAACCCGAUGCAAACUGCGAAUACCGGAGAAUGUUAUCACGGGAGACACACGGCGGGUGCUAACGUCCGUCGUGAAGAGGGAAACAACCCAGACCGCCAGCUAAGGUCCCAAAGUCAUGGUUAAGUGGGAAACGAUGUGGGAAGGCCCAGACAGCCAGGAUGUUGGCUUAGAAGCAGCCAUCAUUUAAAGAAAGCGUAAUAGCUCACUGGUCGAGUCGGCCUGCGCGGAAGAUGUAACGGGGCUAAACCAUGCACCGAAGCUGCGGCAGCGACGCUUAUGCGUUGUUGGGUAGGGGAGCGUUCUGUAAGCCUGUGAAGGUGUGCUGUGAGGCAUGCUGGAGGUAUCAGAAGUGCGAAUGCUGACAUAAGUAACGAUAAAGCGGGUGAAAAGCCCGCUCGCCGGAAGACCAAGGGUUCCUGUCCAACGUUAAUCGGGGCAGGGUGAGUCGACCCCUAAGGCGAGGCCGAAAGGCGUAGUCGAUGGGAAACAGGUUAAUAUUCCUGUACUUGGUGUUACUGCGAAGGGGGGACGGAGAAGGCUAUGUUGGCCGGGCGACGGUUGUCCCGGUUUAAGCGUGUAGGCUGGUUUUCCAGGCAAAUCCGGAAAAUCAAGGCUGAGGCGUGAUGACGAGGCACUACGGUGCUGAAGCAACAAAUGCCCUGCUUCCAGGAAAAGCCUCUAAGCAUCAGGUAACAUCAAAUCGUACCCCAAACCGACACAGGUGGUCAGGUAGAGAAUACCAAGGCGCUUGAGAGAACUCGGGUGAAGGAACUAGGCAAAAUGGUGCCGUAACUUCGGGAGAAGGCACGCUGAUAUGUAGGUGAAGUCCCUCGCGGAUGGAGCUGAAAUCAGUCGAAGAUACCAGCUGGCUGCAACUGUUUAUUAAAAACACAGCACUGUGCAAACACGAAAGUGGACGUAUACGGUGUGACGCCUGCCCGGUGCCGGAAGGUUAAUUGAUGGGGUUAGCGCAAGCGAAGCUCUUGAUCGAAGCCCCGGUAAACGGCGGCCGUAACUAUAACGGUCCUAAGGUAGCGAAAUUCCUUGUCGGGUAAGUUCCGACCUGCACGAAUGGCGUAAUGAUGGCCAGGCUGUCUCCACCCGAGACUCAGUGAAAUUGAACUCGCUGUGAAGAUGCAGUGUACCCGCGGCAAGACGGAAAGACCCCGUGAACCUUUACUAUAGCUUGACACUGAACAUUGAGCCUUGAUGUGUAGGAUAGGUGGGAGGCUUUGAAGUGUGGACGCCAGUCUGCAUGGAGCCGACCUUGAAAUACCACCCUUUAAUGUUUGAUGUUCUAACGUUGACCCGUAAUCCGGGUUGCGGACAGUGUCUGGUGGGUAGUUUGACUGGGGCGGUCUCCUCCUAAAGAGUAACGGAGGAGCACGAAGGUUGGCUAAUCCUGGUCGGACAUCAGGAGGUUAGUGCAAUGGCAUAAGCCAGCUUGACUGCGAGCGUGACGGCGCGAGCAGGUGCGAAAGCAGGUCAUAGUGAUCCGGUGGUUCUGAAUGGAAGGGCCAUCGCUCAACGGAUAAAAGGUACUCCGGGGAUAACAGGCUGAUACCGCCCAAGAGUUCAUAUCGACGGCGGU